rnacentral:misc_RNA from 1 species
AAGUCGUAACAAGGUUUCCGUAGGUGAACCUGCGGAAGGAUCAUUAAUGAUUUAGCGAACCGAGCGUUAGCGAGGUUUUGCGAUCUUGUAUUUAAAACCCAACUCUUUAUAAUAUUUAUACAUAAUUUUUAAUGAUAAAAUUAAAGAUCACUUUCAACAACGGAUCUCUUGGCUCUC